CACACCGCGCAGGGAACACGCUCCGGCGGAUCCGCGCUCCCGGAUGCGGCCGGACGCCACUUCCCGCGGGCCGCGGGCUGCCGGGCAAUAAGUCUGUAACUCGUCUGAAGUGGCAUCAAAGCAAAAGAAAAAAUGCGUGCCUCAUGACCAACACCUUUGACUUCUGGCUGCUAUGGCUUCAUGUGUUUCUGGAUUUCUCUCAAGGAUGUGCAGCAGGUUCCCCCUCCUGGCAGCAUGGGUUUCAGGACUGUAAGCCAUCUGCUCCAGGUUCUAAUCGUCCCCAGAGGCUUUCGAUUCAAUCACUCUUUAACAGCAAGAAAGACAUAUUCCAGUGACCAAGGAUGUUGGAAUCAACAUCCACAGUCAGCCUAAUUUCUGGCUUAUGGUGAUUAAGCCUGAAGACUGAUUGGAAGACACUCAGGAAGAAAGUGUAAUGAAGUAUGUUGACAAGAAAGGAGCAAGAGUCAGCUGAUAGGGCUUCUAAUACCAUAACAAUUACAAAUAAUCUAAGCAAUCUCAGUCUAGUUAACACUUUUAAAUUGAAGAUGCAGAACCUGAUUUCCCACUUCUCUCCCAACCAUUCAUCUCUAAUUUAGGUGACUGAGAAGUAGUCACAAGAACUACCUCCUACUUUGAGAUGAUUUUUCUGUAGGUGGAGGAGACUCUACAAAACAGCAGUAGAGAAUUAGGACUCUCAGUGUGUCUGCUGGGCAUUCCCAGGUGUGUAAUAAAAAGACUGACAAACAUUUAUGCUAAAACAAAAUAAAGACUUCAAAUAUAGCCCAGUAAAUUUAAGUUGAACCAUUACCAGGUUACUAUUCAAAAUGAAAUAUAUCUAGGAGAUUUGUUUAGAUGCAACUGAAACAUGAAAACCACUUGAUGUUUAGCUGAAAUGUCACAAGGGAAGAAAACCUGGCUGGUGUUCAAGAUUACUUGUUAAAUGAAUCUGGGAUGACAACUCCAUGUCUGUAGCAAGAAUGCUUUUUCAUUUCUUAGCACUUGUAAUUUAGAAAGUACUCAAUGCACUUCUAUGCAAAGCACUCAUUUCUAGAUUCUGGUUUGGUGUCUUGGUCAUGACAGCAAAAGUUGUCUUUCACAAUUUUGCCUCAAUUUCAUUUAAAUAGAAUGUAAAGCUAUUAUUUAUUUAUGCAAGUUAAUGGAUUUAAAAAUGUCAUACUUUGGCAGAUUUAAGAAGAAAUUGCCCUUUGCCCUUUGCAACUAGUCCCCUUUUAUUUCAUACCAAUCGUUUUCCUGACUUUCCCCCUUUUGUUCUACACCUGUUGUUGCUUCUUGUUUGAUAUUGUCUCUCCUGUUGAGCACUUCAGACCAUGCUACUGUUCAGUUUAACUUGAAAGUAGACAUUAAAUUAUAUUUUUAAAAAUCAA